CGGCUGGUAGAGAGGAGGGGGCGACGGUGGUGCGGGAUCACGGGGCGUGAAGGGGGGGGAGGCGGUCUGGUAGGGUUGCGGGGAAAGCCCGGGGCUAAACCCCGGGUCGGCCGUGGCAACUGCUGGGCUGGAGCACAGUAGAGGCGGGUGGAAGUCCGGGUGUAGCGGUGGAAUGCGUAGAGAUCCGGAAGAACACCGGUGGCGAAGGCGGCCCGCUGGGCUGUGACUCUUCGGAGUCUUCAAGCUGACGCUGAGGCGCGACAGCGUGGGGAGCAAACAGGAUUAGAUACCCGAGUAGUC
rnacentral:rRNA from 1 species